rnacentral:tRNA from 1 species
GUCUCUGUGGCGCAAUUGGUUAGCGCGUUCGGCUGUUAACCGAAGAGGUUGCUGGUUCAAGCCCAGCCAGGGACG